UACGUAGGGGUGCAAGCGUUGUCCGGAAUUAUUGGGCGUAAAGAGCUCGUAGGCGGUCUGUCGCGUCGGAUGUGAAAAAUCCAGGGCUCAACCCUGGACCUGCAUUCGAUACGGGCAGACUAGAGUUCGGCAGGGGGAGACUGGAAUUCCUGGUGUAGCGGUGAAAUGCGCAGAUAUCAGGAGGAACACCGGUGGCGAAGGCGGGUCUCUGGGCCGAUACUGACGCUGAGGAGCGAAAGCGUGGGGGAGCGAACAGG
rnacentral:rRNA from 1 species